AUCUGAUGAGCAGAUGCAGACAUUAGCACACAGGAGGCUAACGCGUCGCCUCAGGUAACCGUGCACAGUUUGCAGGUGCAGCUCAGUCAACACACACCGGACGGACUUCACAUGCGAGCGGAUCUGCUUAAACUGUCCUUUCAGUCCAUUAACACAUUACCGAGCAGCCCAGGUGACAGCGGCGGAAACAGCAUUCAGCACUAAAUCUGCCCAGUUAGCAUUGCUAACGUUAGCUAGCCGCGGGCUGCUCCUGUCAGUGAGCGCCAGGCGCUAACGAGACCUCCGGCAGAAAACAUAUAGGACCAGGCAGACAUGAAAAUACACAGAGAGGACACGACAGAAAACACAACCGGGAACAACAAGACACGACCUCUGCUGCCCCUCCACCGCAGACUGACAGGCGGAAGAGCGGCGCUCCACAAACACAGCGAGGGUUUCUCUUACCUGGACGCGAGAUGUCUUGAGACGUGAAGCCGCAUUCAUGUUGGACAGUCUCGGGCAUGCGCACUGGCCUCAGCCCCGCGUCCAGCUGCAGCCACGGACCCUGGAGACCACGCCCAUCACCACGCCCAGCACAGGAAAGGAUCCAGAUGUGACCCUCACCCGCACCCGUACCUGUAACUCACAUCUGGAUUCAAAUUGCACUGCUUGACUGAAGCUUCAAAGUAGUUCAUCUCAAAUAAAAGUUGAUACAUUU